rnacentral:rRNA from 1 species
UACGUAGGGGGCAAGCGUUAUCCGGAUUUAUUGGGUUUAAAGGGUGCGUAGGCGGGUUAUCAAGUCAGCGGUAAAAUCGUGGAGCUCAACUCCAUCCAGCCGUUGAAACUGAUGAUCUUGAGUGGGCGAGAAGUAUGCGGAAUGCGUGGUGUAGCGGUGAAAUGCAUAGAUAUCGCGCAGAACUCCGAUUGCGAAGGCAGCAUGCCGGCUCCACACUGACGCUGAGGCACGAAAGCGUGGGUAUCGAACAGG